AGCCACAGACAAAAUCAUGGAGCAUGCAGACACUUGGCAGAUUCAGUUUAACAAAUGGGUUGCAAAGCCCCGAGUCGAAGGAGACUCGCAGCUGGAGCUGAUCUGGAACACUGGCCGUGGAGGGCUCUGAUGGGAGUGUCUCUAUUGACCAGAUACAGGCACUGGGAUUUUGCUGCAGUGGCCCAUCCUAUACUGGAUGCGUAAGAUAGGCAGCGGCCAGCCUGGGCCAAUGCUACCGAGAAGGCAAAGACACAUGGCCCCAUGGACCUGGUGAACCUGGUAAAGAGUGGGCUCUACUGUUGGGUCUGGAAGCCUAACAAAGAGGCUAAAGAGCAGCCUGAUGUUUGUACGAGGAGGAACGGGCACGAGGGUGCACCCUCUGGCACACGGCUUGUCUCUUCCGGGGCGCCUGACUUGAGCUUUUGAUACAGUUCUCUGUGAAAGCUCUGCCUUAACAGAUGGUAAAUGUUAGAACAUCCCACAGGCAUGUGACCACCUUGCAUUCCCCCUUCCCUGCUCGGAAAGUGCGGCUCAGAGCCUCUCCGCUUCAACAGCUGGCCUUUGUGCUGCAUCAGACCUUGGCAAGCUGAAUGAGAGCUGUCAGUCAACACUGAGGGCAUCUGCAGUGCCAGGAAAUCAGCAGUAAAGCGCAAAAUCCCUACUGCUACAUCACACAACCCCCUUCCAACAAGGCUUGGGCUUCCAAGUUUGCGGACAGCACAGAGUACCUUUCACCCCCUCUCGUAUUGGGAAACGCAUUUAGCAGUGAGGCCUGACGGCCAGGGCGGUAACGACUGUAUAGUGCAGGGGUCGGCAAACCAAAUCCGGCCCCCUGCACUUCUCUGAGUGGCCCGCAGCUCCCUCGAACUAGUUAUCGAGUAUCACAGCUUCUAGCAGCAGCUGGGAAACCCUUCACGGACGGGGAGUUUAUUCAGCAGUGUAUGCAAGAGGACACGGAGGAGAUGUGCCCGGAGAAACGCCACCUAGUCCAGUCGGUGAGUUUAUCGGCUAGAGGAUUUCACUCAGAUGGCCCAGCAAGGAGGAAGAAGGUCAGGUAUAUAAAUUUGUUCUUCCAUGGCUGUGCGGCACUGGAGACUUGCUCUGGGCCUCACACCGAGGGAGACACGGGACUUGUGCCAUCUCUCCAAUCUGCCCAAAUCCCGGCUGUGGUGGUUGUAAAACUGGAAUUCCCACAGGAGCAGUGAGUUUCCUUCAGUUUGGUUUUGGUUUUCGAUGAAGACUCUCAAUUCAAAGGCUUUUUUUGGUGGUUGGAUUGGAAAGUGACACCGAAGCAAGAAGCGUAGUGUCUCGGGACAAGGGAAAGGGAGACCUCCGGAAAGACGAGUGCAGGCAGAGCUAUGUUUUAAAACGAGCAUGUGCAGUUCCAGUGAGCCAGUCGAACUGCUACCGAGGAAUUGAUUUCCCUGCCAAUAUUGCUUCUGCUGAUUGACUUUAAACGUUAAUUCUAUCUGUCUUCUCCAGUGGCCAAGCGUGGCCAAGAUUCUCAUGUAAUUACUAUAUCACACUUUGAGUUUAUAUUGCACUUGUCAUGCUCCCCAAGGGCUUUGCAAGUAGGAGGGCUCUCACUUUAUCUAGCCCUGGAGGGCUGCGGGCUGUGGUGGUGUCAUUUUCCAAGCAAACCAAAUCAGUCAAAACAGAAGGAAAGUGAGAAAGUGGAGCCUGGAAUUGAGCCAGGACACUGGGGUGAGAAAUCAGUAACACUUCAGGUCAGGGGUUACAGACACUGUUUCUAUAUGCUUUCUAGAUUGAACUUGUUAAUAAAGCAACAUAAAUAUGGAUAGUAGUUCAUGCUGAAAAGAAAAGAAAGGAAACACAACAUU